GGGGAAUAUUGCUCAAUGGGCGCAAGCCUGAAGCAGCGACGCCGCGUGAGGGAUGACGGCCUUCGGGUUGUAAACCUCUUUUAGCAGGGACGAAGCGCAAGUGACGGUACCUGCAGAAGAAGCACCGGCCAACUACGUGCCAGCAGCCGCGGUAAUACGUAGGGUGCGAGCGUUGUCCGGAAUUAUUGGGCGUAAAGAGCUCGUAGGCGGUCGGUCGCGUCGGCUGUGAAAACUCGGGGCUCAACCCCGAGCCUGCAGCCGAUACGGGCAGACUAGAGUUCGGCAGGGGAGACUGGAAUUCCUGGUGUAGCGGUGAAAUGCGCAGAUAUCAGGAGGAACACCGGUGGCGAAGGCGGGUCUCUGGGCCGAUACUGACGCUGAGGGGCGAAAGCGUGGGGAGCGAAC
rnacentral:rRNA from 1 species